GCCAUAUCUCAGACUGGCCAAUAAAAAUAAAAGAUUAAGUUGGGCAAAAGAACACAGACACUGGACAGAGGAACUCUGCCUAGAACGCCAGCAUCCUCUGCCUAGAACGCCAGCGGGCUUUUGACCAGGUAAGACUGAACAUUGACAAGGCACAGGAGAAACAGCAGGAGAGCUACUGGAGGAGAAUCAAGAAGGGGACCACGUGCUUCGACAUCCGGGAUAGUUACUUGAUUUGGAAGAAGAAUCAAAGGAAGGCGAGACCUGGGAAACUGGGGUCACCAUCUGUUAAGGGUUACCUCGGUGGAUGCCAACAAUCUUCUCCAGUUGGAGCAGUUGGAUGGUGGACAUUACCUCUCCAAAUGACUUCAGGACCAUCGACUGUCUGAGCCCCCAAGGAGGUAUCCCAUCC